UUGUCAUCCCCAAUUUACAGACACAGAAACUGAAGCAGAGAGGUGAAGUGACUUGCCCAGUGCACACAGCCAAAGGAAGCUUCCUAAAGCAGAGGACCAGAGGGCUGCCUUCUUAGCCUGACUGUGCCCACCUCAGCUUUCUCCAGGAUCCAGUAGGAGCCUCCACACAGGGAGCAGGCCUGCAGGUUCCUUAUCUGGAAAAGGGGCUAAUAACCCUGCCCUUGGUAUUGAAAGUAAAGAACCUUGUGGCUGAGCAAUGCCUGGCAAAGUGAUGCCAAGGUUUAAAGGGGCAAGUGAUCUCCCCAGAGGUGAACAGGGCUCCCACUCUGGCCUCUGCAGGAAACGUCAGACUUCACCGCAGCUUCCUGCCGGCAGAUGAACUGCUAGGGCAAUGGGUGCUCACAGCCCCUGCCCCUCUUCACCUUUGAGCACUGAGAGCUCCGUCACCCCUCCAUCCACCCUCCCGCCGCCGCUGCAGUGUCUGUAACUGCUUCCGCAGGAUGGAGACAAGUGGCCAGACUGUCCUCCCACACAGACCCCUGCAGCCAAGGUCCUGGGUGUGGAGAAAUUCAGCAUACCAGAGGCCUGGGCACCAUUGUUGGUCACCUGGCCAUCCUUCCUGCCACUGUCUCCUGGUAUCUGUCCACCCCAGAGGGAGAGAUGAGACUCAUCAUCUUUAUCACAAAGGACCUUCUCCAGGGUUGUCUCUGCACCCAGGCUUCUUCCUCACUCAUUCAUUACACAAGCCUCGCUCUAGGACCAGCCGUGCUGGUACUGGCGGAUGGAAGAAGAAUGACCCAGGCUUUCCUUCAGCUCCUCCCCACAGUGAGACUUUCUCAGUCACAGCAGACACCCCUGAUGGAGCAGCCAUGUCUCUCCCCUCAGAGCACCCCUCCUGGGCUGUCCUGCUGACUGUGAGGCCGGUCUUCUCCCUCUGGGACUGACUCCACCAAGAGGUUCGAACCCCAGCUCUGCUUUUCUGCUGCCUGGAACGGUCCCGCUGGGAAAGCAGGGGUGGGGACUGGCACAGA